ACUGAAUCAGAAUUACGUGUAAAUUACAUCAAAUGAAAACCAGCACCUGUUGCUAUCAAAAUAAUUAAAGCUAAACAGGUUUAAGUGCUUCCUACACAUUUAUAAGUAAUUUUUUAACAUUCAGAUUAUUUAACACUAAUGAGACUUAAAGCAAUCAAAAUUAUUAACUUAUUCUAAUCUUAAAUUCUAGAUAAACUUUAUAUUUACUUUAAAUGUUAAAUGCUAUUAGGACCAAGGUCUGGGUAGACACUACCAAACUGGACAAAACACAACACAACCACAUGGUCAGGUAAACAUUGAAAUCACAUUAAAUCAUAAUCAAAAGCAUUCAAUAUUUUGAUAAAUAUCAGUAACGUGACAUUACUACAUUAAUGUUAAUUAAUACCGAAUUUUAUGACAGAGGAAUUAUUAAUAAAACAUAUAAUAGUGAGUUACAUGUAUGCUGCUCUUAAUAAAAAGAAAAGUAAGGGUUAUGCCAGGUGCCAGAUUAACAAUCUAUCUGAAACUCUGACCGGAGUAAUUUUGUAUCUUUUUUUCAUCGUUUAUUUUUUUAUUUUCUCUAACAUUUUCUUUAACAGUAGCUGAAGGGAGUAGAUGACCCUUAAGUCAUGUCAAACAACUCUAAAACUGAAAAAAACAACCCUUCAUCAUACAGAAAACGAGUGAAAUCGGGAGUGGAUCCGAUGGCACGUACCUCAAUAAAUUUGUGAUUCAUCAUUUGACGGAAGCCGACGGAGGAAUGUGCAUCUGUCUGGCUGCCAAUACAAUGGGCUUUAGUUGGCGGAGUGCACAUCUUAUUGUUCAAUCGAAUCACCCUCAGAACCAAUAUGCCUACACGAUUGACCGCAGUAACCUGAAUAUUCAUCUGGUUGUCGGUAUGUAUCAGGUGGAAUCCUUCUCGUUGUUAGUAUCAUCGCGUUCCUUUUCUUCCAGCGCAAACGACGGGCGCAGUACCACCAGGGGUCAGUUGUGAAUUGUGCUCAUUUCAAAAGAGUUCCUAAGCAGGACGCUGAGCCCUAUCUGGGGGUCCCUCACACAAAUGAUGUCAAAACAAACAUUCAUGUGAACCCCAUGCAUGGACCACAACACAAAAACUUGUAUGCGGGUGUGCCUAGCCCCCAUCUUAUAGUGUCGAGUCGUGAGAUGCUAUCUAAAAAUAGUCAGAGUAUAGACUUUUACACAGACAUUUCGUCCGUUUCACAGAGUCAUCAUAAUCCGCAUCAUCACAUGCAGCAGUAUUCCUAUAACGGACCCUGAACACACAGUCAGGAGUUCUAAAAAUACCCCACUUCCUUCGUUUGACUACAAACAACUCACAGGAUCUUGUAUUCCGUGUGGAACAAUGAGUCAUUCUGAUUGGUCCCGAAAAGCAUUGCAGUCAUGAAAGUAUACCUGUGAUUGGAUAAAACAUUUCAUUGAUACAAAGAAACCUGUGAUACAAACUUCAAGUCACUGACCAACUGGUGCUGUUACUCAGGUUUGUUUGGGUGGAAAUAAUUGGUAUGACAAUGGGCACAAAUUGUGCUACGUGAAAACUACCCAACUGAUAUGUGAAAUUGACACAAAAAACCUAUAUGACACAAUACUAUGCUUGAUACUGCAUUCUGUGAUAAAAGAUAGGGCCAUUAAAGGAGAAAGUUUACCAAAGAUUCCCACUGUCUUGGUGUAGACCUGAGAAAAAUAAAACACUUCAGACAUUGCAUUUUUCUAUGAAGCAAGUGAAUAACUUCAAUGAGAUGUCCAAUCAAGCAUUGUGCCAGUCUGAGAGUAAAAGGAGAGUGAAUGGAGACUUUAUAAGUCGUGUUUGUUGUAUGUAUGGAUAAUUGAUCAACUGUCUAAUUGCUGUAUGUGUCGAUACUUGUUAGGCUGUAUAGAUAAUAUUUUGUAUAAAUGGAUACUUGAGAGUCAGUUCAAAUGUUGUAUAUGUGUGUUCUGGAAUGUGCAAGGUAUUACAUGUUAUGUUAAAGAAUAACUGUCCAUAAAUAAGGAUUUUUACCUGUAGGAGUGCAAUCUGUAUUCAUAAUGAUCUUGUGAGUGUAUGGGAAAUUGUUUCUUUGUAGAUAUUCUACAAACUGAUCGUAGUUAAAUUAAUCUUGUAAUGAGACAGAACUGCGACCCUACACACAAUAUAUACAGUACACAGGUGUUUUAAGUGCUCUUUUUAUACACCUCACAAAUCCACACACCUGUAAUUCUACUCUUCGUUUACAAUUUACAAGCCUUCUAUAUUACAUGUUUGCAUCUAGACAAAUCUUGUUUCUUUGUAUAAUGCCUGGAAUUUCUGUUUUUAAAUAACAAGGGAUUUUUGUUUCUUUAGAAUGGGAUCAUUCGGGGAAAUUUUGACCUGAAGCCGUGAUAUAUGAUGACAUUUCAUCUGUACCUUGAUACCUGUUUUACCAUUAUCAAUUGUUCCUUUUGAGUUUAGAUUUUACAAGAAAAUCCCAGCUGACUUAAGACGUCAUGUUUUAUUAAAAUUCUUGUCAGUUAUGAGGGCUGUAAAUUUUGUUUUGGACAAAUUAACUCUGGACAUGGUUUUUAUUGAGAAAUGAUUUUUGCAGCUUUCUAUUUUUAUGUUUUAAAAAUACAAAGGAAUUGUUCAAUUUAUUUCAAUUUCAUACUGUACAACACCUUGUUUUAAUUAUGAAUUCUUAAAUCAUCAAAUAAGGGCACCAAUACUACAUAUUUUUCAUAACUUUCAAAAUGAUGUAAACAGAAUUGGUAAUUUUUGGCAAUCCUUCCUUUUCCAAAAUGUAUGUAAAAUUUAAAUAAUUUAAUUACUCAAACUAAAAUGAAAAUAUGUGUACUUCUGGAUAUAAAAUAAUCUACUUUGAAAAAAAGGCAGCAAAAAUAUCCUCAGUUCUGUCAUAAGAAAAAUUUCUCCAAAAUGUAGCAACAUGUUGCUGGUGGCUUUAAAUUUUUAUCAAAUUAUUUGAGAUUUUAAAUAUUUCCCAUUUCUUUAAGCCCAGGAAGGGUAAAGUAUGUUUUUUUUACAACAUUAUUUUGUUUUGAUAAUUGUUUUGUUAAUGUAUUACAUUUCUGUUAAAGCAUUAUGUGUGGAAAGAGGGACAACUCUUGCAAAAUGUUUCUUUUUUUUUGAACAGGGUAAAAAUUGUUCAUAAUAUGUUGUACACAAGUGUACCAGUAAACUAUAUUAAAAAAU